rnacentral:lncRNA from 1 species
AUCGAGCAUUGCACCAGAAGUCGUAGUCUACCAGGAGAGUCAAGGAUAACUCGAGAGCAAUCGAGGCAUAAUCGUAGUCUGCAGGAUAGUAGAUCUCGGAGUUCCUAGACUUCCAAGGGAAACAAAGAAGGAUCGUAGUGUGUCGAGAAGAACUUCCUCAGAGCCGAAGUCUGCUGAGGAAGUCAUGUUCAGAAUCGUAGAGACAGCCUGCCUACGAGACGACCGAGCCUCUGCCGAAGCCAAGUCAGAAACGUAGACUACACUCGGAGUCGUAGAGUCUACCGAUGCUGAAGC